AAUCCUUCGAGGGUGCCUAACUGCCCCAUUGCCAUGGCCAUCUGACCCAUGUAGCUCGCGACAUUAUCCGAUGAACUGGAACCAAGAGUUCCACUGGAUAAAGUAUCAGCUAGGGAUUGCUGUAAACUCUCCAUCCCUUGAGAUAAAGCAUCUUCUGCCUGCUGCGACGUCUGCUGCAAGCUAUUGAUGCCCAUUACCUGUCGUUCUGUCAUGGGCUCUAGCUGAUUCGCAAGAAGCUGUUGUGAAAACACUGCGACUCAUUAAGUUGGCUGUUCAUCAAAAUCUCUCUAUGGACUUGGAAAGAGCUUAC